rnacentral:rRNA from 1 species
UACGGGGGGGGCAAGCGUUGUUCGGAAUUACUGGGCGUAAAGGGCUCGUAGGCGGCCAACUAAGUCAGACGUGAAAUCCCUCGGCCUAACCGGGGAACUGCGUCUGAUACUGGAUGGCUUGAGUCCGGGAGAGGGAUGCGGAAUUCCAGGUGUAGCGGUGAAAUGCGUAGAUAUCAGGAAGAACACCCGUGGCGAAGGCGGCUCUCUGGGACGGUACUGACGCUGAGACGCGAAAGCGUGGGGAGCGAACAGG